rnacentral:tRNA from 1 species
UAACAGUUAGUCUAACCAAGACUACUAACUUCGACUUAGUCAAUUCCAUAUAAACAAGGAACUGUUAA